GAACACCUUCCUAGACCAACAUUUAUAUUUAUCUAUUUUCUUCUUUUUAAAUUUCUUUUGUUUAUUUUGAUUCUACUAAAUAGAACAAACAAAACGAUUUGGAUUAAAGACCCAAAAGACGACGUUUAUAUAACUGUCACCAGAAAAGAGCCACCCUUGCGAUUAUCUAUCUUCCUCAUUAAACCAUUUAUUGAAACUGAUGGCAUGACUUUUCUCUCCGUUGUAGAAAACUAAUUUCUUCCCUAUCUCUUAAUACGAGGACAAUCAGCAAAUCCACACUGAAUCUUCAACAAAGUAAGAGCACUUAAUAUCAGCCGAUGUUACUUUCUCUCUCACUUUGCUACUGUUUCUUCCCUUUUUUUCGUUUUCCUUUUUAAUUUGAUAGUUCUAUCUAUUUGCCUUUUUCAGUUCCCAUUAUUCUGAUUAUAUUGGCAGUUUUUAUUCCUUUUUUCUUUGUUGAGUAGUCUUUCCCUUUUGGGGCUUUAUUUAUUUCAUAAUUCGUUGUUAUUCUGCUUGCAACUUUGCAUGCAGUUCAAAUUUGUCUAAUUGAGUUGCUUAAUAAAAUCACUUAUUGGCUGAUUCUCGUGUUGAUUUCCUCUUUUACGUUUCAGCAUUCGCCCUCUAACAUUAAUUUCAGUUCUUUCCGUCAACAAUUUUGAGCAAAACUAAUCUCGCCCGUUUGUGUUGUAUUAUUUCAACAGCUCUUUAAAUUUAUUUAACUACUUUGGUGAAACACUUCCUUUAUUCGUUGUUAUUUUGUUGAUUAUUCCCUCUUGUUUUUUGAUUAUUCAUGGUCUUAUAGCAGAGAUGUGGCCGAGUGCAGAACGAGAGCUUACAUAGG
rnacentral:lncRNA from 1 species